GACGAACGCUGGCGGCGUGCUUAACACAUGCAAGUCGAACGAAGUGGCGCACAGGUGAGUAACGCGUAAUCAACCUGCCCUUCAGGGGGGGACAACAAUUGGAAACGACUGCUAAUACCGCAUAGUGAGGGAGGGGAUUGCGUCUGAUUAGCUAGUUGGGGGGGUAACGGCCCACCAAGGCGAUGAUCAGUAGCCGGUCUGAGAGGGUGAACGGGCACAUUGGGACUGUGACACGGGCCAGACUCCCACGGGAGGCAGCAGUGGGGAAUCUUCCGCAAUGGACGAAAGUCUGACGGAGCAACGCCGCGGGGGUGAUGACGGCCUUCGGGUUGUAAAGCUCUGUUAAUCGGGACGCGGUACCGGAAUAGAAAGCCACGGCUAACUACGUGCCAGCAGCCGCGGUAAUUC
rnacentral:rRNA from 1 species